GGUAUUGCCCUAGUAACGGCGAGUGAAGCGGCAACAGCUCAAAUUUGAAAUCUGGCUCUUUUAGAGUCCGAGUUGUAAUUUGCAGAGGGCGCUUUGGCUUUGGCAGCGGUCCAAGUUCCUUGGAACAGGACGUCACAGAGGGUGAGAAUCCCGUACGUGGUCGCUGGCUAUUGCCGUGUAAAGCCCCUUCGACGAGUCGAGUUGUUUGGGAAUGCAGCUCUAAAUGGGAGGUACAUUUCUUCUAAAGCUAAAUAUUGGCCAGAGACCGAUAGCGCACAAGUAGAGUGAUCGAAAGAUGAAAAGCACUUUGGAAAGAGAGUCAAACAGCACGUGAAAUUGUUGAAAGGGAAGCGCUUGCAGCCAGACUUGCUUACAGUUGCUCAUCCGGGCUUUUGCCCGGUGCACUCUUCUGUAGGCAGGCCAGCAUCAGUUUGGGCGGUAGGAUAAAGGUCUCUGUCACGUACCUCUCUUCGGGGAGGCCUUAUAGGGGAGACGACAUACUACCAGCCUGGACUGAGGUCCGCGCAUCUGCUAGGAUGCUGGCGUAAUGGCUGUAAGCGGCCC
rnacentral:rRNA from 1 species